rnacentral:misc_RNA from 1 species
GGUUCCUAUGGCACAAUACUAUGCUUAUGUUUCCAAGAAAUAGGUAAUACUUAGUUUGUUAACUUGCCUCUCAAAUUAUUUCGUUUUAAGUUUCAGACUUGGCGACUUUUUGUACAAAUGUUAAUCUUGAACUGGUCAAUGAGAACCUUGCAAUCGGGGGAUAAGAUCAAAUUUUCUGUUUGUGUUGAUAAAAUGUGUAUUAGAUAAAAACCAUGAAAAUUGGGUUACAGUUGUUGCAUUUCUGCAACAUGGAGCUUUUGCUUCAU